AUGACAUAUUCUGGCCUUCCAGGGUGUGGUGGGAAAAGGACUUUGGUGCCAGUGGAUGGUAGCCUGGAGUGUUCCACAGGAACAAAAAAAGCAGGAUUGCUGUGCAUAAUGACAACCUUUGACUGGAUCAGAAUGGGACUCAGGUCCCUGGAGCUCACAGGGUAUCAGAAAGAGCACUGGGCUGGGAGUCAGAAGAUCUAUGUUCUAGUCUUGGCUCUGCUGCUUACUGGUGAGUUUCUCAACCUUUUUGGUUUCCCCACUUAAAACUUUAAGGAGGUAAGAGUGAGUGACUGGAUACAAUUUCCCUAGUCCAAGAAUUGUGGUAUUGUGGUAUAAACACCCCUAAGUGAGCAGUCUCCUUGUUAACGUCCCACACAGGGCUGUAACUCACUCACAAUUGUAUUGAGGCUAUAAACUGAAAGAGCUCCUCUUGAAGAAUUUAUGAGAGGUCUGAAAGCUCUAUAUUUGCUCUAGAGACAUCUAUUGUUUGUUUAUAAUGUGUGCAUGUUUAAUUUGCAAUAAAACUGGGAGGCACUACUGUACAAAUAGGCAGCUUAUCUACCCUCAAUUGCUGUCUCAGAAGAAGGAAGAUGGGAGAGGGGGAAUUCAGGGAAAAAAAAAUCAAUCACUUUGGCCUGUAAGUGGAAAGAUUUUGAAGGGCUGUCCUGUUGUGCCUGUGGUUGGGUGACCCUCUUCCUGGGGUUUCUGAAUGUCUUCAUAUUCCCAAUAUUCCCGUACCAGGUAGGAUUCCACACUCCUGAAUCCUCCCCGAGGUGAUUCUUCCCUAGAUGUGGGGUAUAUAGGUAAGUGAUGGGGACUCAGACCAGUGAUCCUAAGCAUACUUCAUGUCCUGAUGGCUGUCUGAGGACAGAAAUUGGGGAAAUGGGAGUUUGGGUAAAACUGAUACCACCCUGGUAGGGGAAGGAAGUCUGGGUAGGAUAUAUAGGUCUCAUGCCUAUUGUCUCUGCAUCUGGGAGGUCCUGACAAAACCAGAUGCAGUUGAAUUAGAACACUAAUUCAACUGCAUCUGGAAUCACUAGGGUCGUGAGGAAGGAGUGGCUCACUCUUAUGGGGGUGUCCCAGGAAGACUGAGCAAAGGAAAGAUGAGCCCAUUUAAUUCCUACAGGGAUUCUCCUGCUAAGGGUUCAGUGGGGCUGUGGGCGAUGAUUUAUUCCACUGGCUGCCCACCAUCAUGAGUCUGAAUGAUAGUCCUUACUUAUCAAGGAGGCAUUUUCCUCCAUGACCAUACACUUUUCUUACAGGUUUCUUUUUCAAGCCACCAAAAUUUAUCUUCUUGAUAUACAGCAAUGAUAGCAUCUACCUCGAUACCCAGCAGUUUCAGUAGUCUCCAAUAUUAACAGUGUCAAAAAUCGCUUAUCUCUCUGUUUUCUGCUCUGCAAUCCCAACUCCUAUGAUCCCCUGGUGACAGGGAUAGUCCACACUCACAAAGCUGAUGGAGAGGAUUAGGUGCCCUCUUCAGGUUGCCUUUGUAUCAUGGCUUCCUGAGAUAGCCCUAGAUGGUACAAUAGAUUAGCAAGAGCGGACACAGAAACGUGCUGUGCAAAUGCCUUGGGGGUUUUCCAGGGAAAGGUUGUCCAAGAGAAAUUACUCAGGCAAAGUCCCUUGCCUAAAACUCUGGGCUGGUGGUAAUUUGCCUUAUGCAAUGAACUAUUCACAAAAAGGUAUCUGCUUUGUGAGCAAAUGUUGGUUUGUCCACUUUCUCUAGUUUUGGCAGGUUGGUGACACUCUCAAUCAUUGCAGUUUUUAUUAUUUUACUAUUUAUUUAUUUAUGGUUUUUUAUUUUUAUUAUUAUUAUUUUUUAAUAAUAAAUUUAUUUUUUAUUGGUGUUCAAUUUGCCCACAUACAGAAUAACACCCAGUGCUCAUCCUGUCAAGUGCCCCCCUCAGUGCCCGUCACCCAUUAACCCCGACCCCCACCCUCCUCCCCUUCCACCACCCCUAUAUUUAUGGUUUUUUAAAUCUGUUAUUUAAACUCAGUUUAGUUAACAUGUACUGCAUUACAGUUGUUUUUUUUUAAUUGUAGUAAAAUACACAUAACAUAAAAUUUACUAUCUUCACCAUUUUAGACGUAUAGCUCAGUACUGUUAGUUGCAUUCGUACUGCUAUACAAUCAAUCUCCAGAACUCUUUUCAUCUUGCAAAACUGAAACUUUAUCUUUUAAACAACAAUCCUCAAUUACCCUCUCUUCCCAGCCCCUGACAACC
rnacentral:lncRNA from 1 species